GGCAACGACAGACCGCACGACCCCAGCUGCGUCCUUCUCCUCCGAGCCUCACACUUGAGAGGUUUGUUCCUCCUAAAGUGUGCAAAAAGUACAAACUGGAAAAAGCCACAGUGGACUUGGUGUCCACCUGGAGUGCACAUCAAAGACCAUGGAUUGCUCAACUGCUUUGAAAGGGACAUGUCCCUUAAAAGGACAUGGACGGCAUUUAGAAUGGAAGGGAACAUCUUGAGCUUGGUGGAAUCUUGAAUGAAGCUAAUGCCAAGAGUUCCAAAAACUAAUGUUUGGAUUACAUGACAUGAAAGGGUUAAGGUCGCCAAGAUAGCAUGGUACACCCCCCCCCCCCCUACAGAGGAGUAGACAAGAUGCAUGGCACUUGAACCUUGCAAGGUAAGGCAUAUUAAUAUUCUUAUAAUUUGGUUGAGCAUAAUAGAUACUACGAAUAGUAAACUUCGUAAUCAACUAUAUUAAGAGGGCUUAAAUUCUCUCGUUUUUUCAGAGGGUGACUGAAGAAUUAGUUUAACGUGCAUUCAUUCUAUAGUAAGACUAGCCAGUCUGGGCAAGGUGGUAGGACAAUCCUACACAUCUAAUCAUCUUUCUGGCCAGAGUAAUUCCUGUGUUAAUCCCUGGCAUAAGGUUCCUUUGCCAUGCCAGUUUCAUAGCAGGAGACAAACUUCUAAAGCACUUACUUUUUCAACUGUAGAACUUUGAGGAUUGGUAGUAACUGAGUGAUUUUUGUUUCAGGGUUAAGGUCGCCAAGAUAGCAUGGUACACCCCCCCCCCCCCCUACAGAGGAGUAGACAAGAUGCAUGGCACUUGAACCUUGCAAGGUUGGCAGCUUGCCAUGUGUUCUUGUGACUUUCCUUAAAGUCAAACUGAAGAGUUUGAGCUGGGCACAUGGUUUACAAGGGGGCAGCUAAACCUUUAAAUUUUCUUAGCUGAAAUGGCAGUUAAGAUGAGGCAAGUAUUGUAUGAUUUAAGUCUUAAAUGGCAUAUUGCACACCAGCUCCAGCUUUUCCCCUUUGGCAAGCUAGGCGUUUCUCGUGCAUAGAGAAAAUGUGUAGGGGUGUGUGGGUUUUGGUUCGUAUCAUAAUGCACACGCAACGUCACGACAAAUUGAUUUAUAAAAA